UAGGCAGGAUGGCCAAAGGCUACUGGACAGU
rnacentral:piRNA from 1 species